UACGUAGGUGGCAAGCGUUGUCCGGAUUUACUGGGCGUAAAAAGCGCGCAGGCGGUCGUCCAAGUCGCGUGUGAAAGCCCCCGGCUCAACUGGGGAGGGUCACGCGAUACUGGUCGACUCGAAGGCAGGAGAGGGUAGUGGAAUUCCCGGUGUAGUGGUGAAAUGCGCAGAUAUCAGGAGGAACACCGGUGGCGAAGGCGGGUCUCUGGGCAGUAACUGACGCUGAGGAGCGAAAGCGUGGGGAGCGAACAGG
rnacentral:rRNA from 1 species